GUGCCUUCGAGCUGAAUCUUGAAGAAAGCUAGCCAUUUUGAGAGAAGAAAGGGAGGAGGGCGAAAACUUGUAGGCAUGGGGGAACACAGAAAGGGUGGAAAUGAAAACGGAAGCUCUUCCAGGAGAACAAUAAUUUCCUUUCACACCAAAGGAAGAUACUAAACUAACUUGAAGAAAGUGCUCAAUCUCAGAAACUACAGACCCCGAUCUUUCUACGGAAUGAUAAUCUAGAUAGCUCUACCUUACAUAAUCAGUCAAGCAUUUAUGAAGUUCUUACUUUGUGCCAGGCCCUGUGCUAGAUACUGAGACUACAAAGACAACUGAUGGAAUAAUCCUCACUG